AGUUGUUAGGGAAGAACAAGUACCGUUCGAAUAGGGCGGCACCUUGACGGUACCUAACCAGAAAGCCACGGCUAACUACGUGCCAGCAGCCGCGGUAAUACGUAGGUGGCAAGCGUUGUCCGGAAUUAUUGGGCGUAAAGCGCGCGCAGGCGGUUUCUUAAGUCUGAUGUGAAAGCCCCCCGGCUCAACCGGGGAGGGUCAUUGGAAACUGGGGAACUUGAGUGCAGAAGAGGAGAGUGGAAUUCCACGUGUAGCGGUGAAAUGCGUAGAGAUGUGGAGGAACACCAGUGGCGAAGGCGACUCUCUGGUCUGUAACUGACGCUGAGGCGCGAAAGCGUGGGGAGCGAACAGGAUUAGAUACCCUGGUAGUCCACGCCGUAAACGAUGAGUGCUAAGUGUUAGAGGGUUUCCGCCCUUUAGUGCUGCAGCAAACGCAUUAAGCACUCCGCCUGGGGGAGUACGGUCGCAGGACUGAAACUCAAAGGAAUUGACGGGGGCCCGCACAAGCGGUGGAGCAUGUGGUUUAAUUGGAAGCAACGCGAAGAACCUUACCAGGGUCUUGACAUCCUCUGACAACCCUAGAGAUAGGGCUUCCCCUUCGGGGGCAGAGUGACAGGUGGUGCAUGGUUGUCGUCAGCUCGUGUCGUGAGAUGUUGGGUUAAGUCCCGCAACGAGCGCAACCCUUGAUCUUAGUUGCCAGCAUUCAGUUGGGCACUUUAAGGUGACUGCCGGUGACAAACCGGAGGAAGGUGGGGAUGACGUCAAAUCAUCAUGCCCCUUAUGACCUGGGCUACACACGUGCUACAAUGGGCAGAACAAAGGGCAGCGAAGCCGCGAGGCUAAGCCAAUCCCACAAAUCUGUUCUCAGUUCGGAUCGCAGUCUGCAACUCGACUGCGUGAAGCUGGAAUCGCUAGUAAUCGCGGAUCAGCAUGCCGCGGUGAAUACGUUCCCGGGCCUUGUACACACCGCCCGUCACACCA
rnacentral:rRNA from 1 species